GACGAACGCUGGCGGCGUGCUUAACACAUGCAAGUCGAACGGAAAGGCCAGGUUCUUUUGGGUGUUCGCGUGGCGAAUGGGGGAAUAACACCAGGGUAACCAGCCCCGUAUAUUGGGAUAACUUCAUGGAACCGGGGACAAUAACGGCUAGGAGCUCCUUCGCCCUGGUGGGGGUUGGGAAGGCUCGGCGGUUGGGGAUUGAUUAGGGGCUUAUCAGCUUGUUUGUGGAGUUGUGGCUUACCAAGGCUUUGACGGGUAGCCGGCCUGAGAGGGCGACCGGGCACAUUGGGACUAAGAUACGGCCCAGACGCCUACCUGAGGCAGGGGUGGAGAAUAUUACGCAAUAGGCUGAAGCCGGUUGCAGCAACGCCGCGUGCGGGAUGCCGGCCUUCGGGGUGUAAACCGCUUUGGCCUGUUACGAAGCGUGAGUGACGGUACUUGAUAAAAAAGCUCCGGCUAACUACGUG
rnacentral:rRNA from 1 species